ensembl:snoRNA
AAGACUAUACUUUAAGGGAUCAUUUCUAUAGUUCGUUACUAGAGAAGUUUCUCUGAAUGUGUAGAGUACCCAAAACCACGAGGAGGAGGCAAAGUGUUCUCUCCUGAGUGUGAAGCUGGCUUUUGGUGCUGUCGUUACAGUUGCCAAUUGCCAUUGAUGAUCGUUCUUUCUCUCCUUUUGGGAGAGUAAGAGGGAGAGAGCACAGUCUGAGUGGAA